UACGGAGGGUGCGAGCGUUGUCCGGAAUCACUGGGCGUAAAGGGCGCGUAGGCGGCGCGGAUAGUCGGCGGUGAAAGCCCGGAGCUCAACUCCGGGUCGGCCGUCGAUACUUCCGGGCUUGAGCACUGUAGAGGCAGAUGGAAUUCCGGGUGUAGCGGUGGAAUGCGUAGAGAUCCGGAAGAACACCGGUGGCGAAGGCGGUCUGCUGGGCAGUUGCUGACGCUGAUGCGCGACAGCGUGGGGAGCAAACGAGG
rnacentral:rRNA from 1 species